AGGAAAUGAAGGACACCCAUAUCCAGCUGAAACUGCAGAAGGAAUUUAUGUUGGCAGCCAAAGGGGCUGAGAGAGAUUGAAGAGUUGAGGAUGACUCUUCUCUGAGGUUGUGAAUCUGGGUAGAUAGGAAAAUGGCGGCACCAUCAACAGAAUUUGGGAAGUUGAUAGGUCUCUCUGGAUCCCUUUAUUUUCACUCAAGGCAGGCCACAUCUGCCCUAGACAAACCUCUUUUCCUGUCAUAUUCCGGGACCUUCUAGAAACAUUCACAUUCCAUAAGUGACAUUGGGAUUGCCUGUUGACAUAACUCUACAUUGGGAACUGUACUGUCCAAACUCCAGUUAUCUAUCUCCAUGCCUAGAGAUCAAUUAGUCCCACAUGGGGAAACUGAGGCUAAGAGAGACAAAGCAACUUUCCCAAAGCAGCAUGAGUAAUAAGUGGAAGAUUGGAACUCAUGUCUUUGGCCUAGGAAGCCAGCAUUCUUGUCACUGAAAGCUGCCACUUCCUAACUUUAUCACAUCAGAUUGUUUUUCCAUCCAGAUACAAUGAGUGUGUGUGAUACAUAUGAACAACAUGAA